GAAUUCGCCCUUAGAGUUUGAUCCUGGCUCAGGAUGAACGCUGGCGGCGUGCUUAACACAUGCAAGUCGAACGGGGUUUAGAAGGAAGCUUGCUUUCAUUUAAACCUAGUGGCGGACGGGUGAGUAACGCGUGAGGAACCCGCCCUUCGGUGGGGAACAACAACUAGAAAUGGUUGCUAAUACCGCAUAACGUCGGAGUGCCGCAUGACAUUCCGACCAAAGGAUUUAUUCGCUGAAGGAUGGCCUCGCGUCCGAUUAGGCAGUUGGUGAGGUAACGGCCCACCAAACCUACGAUCGGUAGCCGAACUGAGAGGUUGAUCGGCCACAUUGGGACUGAGACACGGCCCAGACUCCUACGGGAGGCAGCAGUGGGGAAUAUUGGGCAAUGGGCGAAAGCCUGACCCAGCAACGCCGCGUGAAGGAUGACGGUCUUCGGAUUGUAAACUUCUUUAAUUGGGGAAGAAUAAAUGACCUACCCAAAGAAUAAGUCACGGCUAACUACGUGCCAGCAGCCGCGGUAAUACGUAGGUGGCAAGCGUUAUCCGGAUUUACUGGGUGUAAAGGGCGCGUAGGCGGGGAUGCAAGUCAGAUGUGAAAUCUAUGGGCUCAAACUCAUAAACUGCAUUUGAAAACUGUGGUCUCUUUGAGUGCUGGAGAGGUAGACGGAUUUCCCUUGUGUAGCGGGGAAAUGCGUAGAUUUAAGGAAAGAAACACCAGGGGCGUAGGCGGUCUACUGGACAGUAAACUCGACGCCUGAGGCGCGAAAGCGUGGGGAAGGCAAACAGGGAUUAGAUACCCUGGUAGUCCACGCCGGUAAACGAUGAAUACUAGGGGUGGGGGGACUGACCCCCUCCGUGCCGCAGUUAACACAAUAAGUAUUCCACCUGGGGAGUACGCCGGCAACGGUGAAACUCAAAGGAAUUGACGGGGGCCCGCACAAGCGGAGGAACAUGUGGUUUAAUUCGAUGAUACGCGGAGGGAACCUUACCCGGGGCUUGAACUGCAGGUGAACGAUCCAGAGAUGGUGAGGCCCUUCGGGGCACCUGUGGAGGUGCUGCAUGGUUGUCGUCAGCUCGUGCCGUGAGGUGUCGGCUUAAGUGCCAUAACGAGCGCAACCCCUUUCAUUAGUUGCCAUCAGGUCAUGCUGGGCACUCUGGUGAUACUGCCACCGUAAGGUGUGAGGAAGGUGGGGAUGACGUCAAAUCAGCACGGCCCUUACGUCCGGGGCUACACACGUGUUACAAUGGCGCAUACAGAGAGUCGGUUCCGGGCAAUCGGGAUCUAAUCAAUAAAGUGCGUCGUAGUUCGGACUGGGGUCUGCAACCCGACCCCACGAAGCUGGAUUCGCUAGUAAUCGCGCAUCAGCCAUGGCGCGGUGAAUACGUUCCCGGGCCUUGCACACACCGCCCGUCA
rnacentral:rRNA from 1 species